GUACUCUCUUCAGCAGCACAUGUACUAAUAUUGGAACAAUACAGAGAAGAUUAGCAUGGCCCCUGAGCAAGGGUGACACGCAAAUUUGUUAAAUGUUCUAUAUUAAA
rnacentral:snRNA from 1 species